UACGGAGGGUGCAAACGUUGCUCGGAAUCAUUGGGCGUAAAGCGCACGUAGGCGGCUCGUUAAGUCGGGUGUGAAAUCCCUCGGCUCAACCGAGGAAGUGCAUUCGAAACUAGCGAGCUUGAAUGUGGAAGAGGGUCGUGGAAUUCCCGGUGUAGAGGUGAAAUUCGUAGAUAUCGGGAGGAACACCAGUGGCGAAGGCGGCGACCUGGGCCAACAUUGACGCUGAGGUGCGAAAGCGUGGGGAGCAAACAGG
rnacentral:rRNA from 1 species